rnacentral:misc_RNA from 1 species
GAUGAAGAACGUAGCGAAAUGCGAUACUUGGUGUGAAUUGCAGAAUCCCGUGAACCAUCGAGUCUUUGAACGCAAGUUGCGCCCGAAGCCACUAGGCCGAGGGCACGCCUGCCUGGGCGUCACACGUCGUUGCCCCCCCAUCUACUCCUUCGGGAUUGCGGGGGGGCGGAUGAUGGCCUCCCGUGCGCCUAGCCGCGCGGUUGGCAUAAAUACCAAGUCCUCGGCGACGCACGCCACGACAAUCGGUGGUUGCGAAACCUCGGUUGCCCGUCGUGUGCGUUCGUCGCGCAUCGAGGGCUCGAAAAAAUGCUCGGCUUCGGCUCGGCUUUCAACGCGACCCCAGGUCAGGCGGGGUUACCCGCUGAAUUUAAGCAUAUCAAUAGCGGAGGA